GGUAUCAUUUAAGCUGUUAAAGAAUACUCACCAUGCUGCUUUCUGUCUCACUGAGCCUUCUCAGGUGGAGAUCGGAGAGGCUCCCAUCUGAUAAUGGACACUGUGUAUGCAGGACCCACACCUUUGUGCAGAAAAACAGGACAUUCCAAAGCUGUAUGGUCACACAAGAUACUUUGGGAAGGCUGCCACGGAGCACAGCAGUCUGCAGAAGGACAAGAAUCUCACUGAAUCUCACUAGCACCUAGAGG